rnacentral:rRNA from 1 species
UCAGGCAAAACACAUGCAAGUCGAGCGGGGUUUUCGGACAUAGCGGCGGACGGGUGAGUAAUGCGUAGGAAGCUGCCCGAUAGAGGGGGAUACCAGUUGGAAACGACUGUUAAUACCGCAUAAUGUCUACGGACCAAAGUGUGGGACCUGCGGGCCACAUGCUAUCGGAUGCGCCUACGUGGGAUUAGCUAGUUGGUGAGGUGAUGGCUCACCAAGGCGACGAUCUCUAGCUGGUUUGAGAGAAUGAUCAGCCACACUGGAUUGGAGACACGGUCCAGACUCCUGCGGGAGGCAGCAGUGGGGAAUAUUGGA